GACGAACGCUGGCGGCGUGCUUAACACAUGCAAGUCGAACGAUGACGCCCGAGCUUUCUCGGUCUGAUUAGUGGCGAACGGGGGAGUAACACGUGAGCAACCUGCCCUUCACUCUGGGAUAACCCCUGGGAAUCGGGGCUAAUACCGCAUAUGAUCUCCUGUCGCAUGGCGGGCGAUGGAAAGACUUGCGGUUGCGGAUGGUCUUGCGGGCUAUCGGUUUGUUUGUGCGGUAGUGGCUCACCAAGGCUAUGACGGGUAGCCGGCCUGAGAGGGCGAACGGGCACACGGGGACUGAGACACGGCGCAGAAGCCUACGGGAGGCAGCAGUGGGGAAUAUUGCACAAUGGGCGAAAGCCUGAUGCAGAGACGCCGCGUGAGGGAUGCCGGCCUUCGGGUUGAAAACCUCUGUCAGCAGGGAAGAAGCGAAAGUGACGGUACCUGAAGAAGAAGCGCCGGCUAACUACGUG
rnacentral:rRNA from 1 species